rnacentral:rRNA from 1 species
UACGUAGGUGACCAGCGUUGUCCGGAUUUACUGGGCGUAAAGAGCGCGCAGGCGGUCGUUCAAGUCGAGUGUGAAAGCCCCCGGCUCAACUGGGGAGGGUCACUCGAUACUGAUCGACUUGAAGGCAGGAGAGGGAAGCGGAAUUCCCGGUGUAGUGGUGAAAUGCGUAGAUAUCAGGAAGAACACCCGUGGCGAAAGCGGCUCUCUGGAACGGUACUGACGCUGAGACGCGAAAGCGUGGGGAGCGAACAGG